AGCUUUAUGCAAUGGCAGUAUCAUAGACAAUGAGGUUUAUCUGGAGCAUGAUUAUUGCUAAUUGAAAAUUUUCCCAAUUACCCCACUGUGACGACUUGGAAAGUGGUUCUAGGGGAAAAAUAAUGAAUUUAGAAACCAAGUCUUUUUAUAUCAUGUACAUAUGCCUACAAAACAAUUAUGUGAGCCUUUGGAAGGCAAAUAUUUGU
rnacentral:snRNA from 1 species